GAGACAUAUAGUCGAUGAGGGGAUACGUAGGGGAUGUUUGUAAGUAGUGAGAAUAUUUACUAUCUUUGUAGAAUGCUGAAAUUGUUAUUAAUUUUUCUUGAGGUGGCAUCUAUUUUGUAGUGUUUUGGACGAUUAAGUGAAAGUUUGUAACUUGUGAGAGAUGUUUUUUACUCGGGUGUAUGGUGUCUAUUUUUUGUUUCCUUUUCAGGAUUGCUGUAAGUUGUUUUGUUGUUUCUUUAUAAUCUGUCUGCAUAUUUGUUGUGCCAGCACUAUUUAAACAAUUUUGUGUUGUGUCAAAUCCAGCAUUAAGGCAGGAAAUAGUUUUGAACCAUGGAUAGUUUCUGGUUCCCUAAGAAUUGAUGGAUGAUGACGUUACUUCCCUCUGAAAUCUGAAUUUCGGAAGAAUUAGAUGAUAUCAUUGGGAAUGGCUUAAAGGAACUAUUUUAUGACGAGAAUGUUGAAGCGGUUACUUGAUCGUGAACAGAUUGGAGACAAGGGGGCUAAUUUGGAUGAAGCAGAAGAAGAUGGAUUCUUCAAGGCUUUUAAGACACACCUCUUUGGCGCAAUGGGCCCCCGGAGAAGCCAAUAUUGUGUAAUGCUUGUGGACCGUGGUGGAGAACAAAAGGAACAUUUGUAAACCACACCCCUUUUCAUGCUAGGGCAGAACCUGAUGAAUUUGAGGAUUACAAGUUUUCAAAAAGUGAGGGGCAUAUCUAUUAACAACAAAGAAGCUAAGGUGCUAAAAAGAAACAAAACCAUAACGUCCGUAACAAUGCAGUAGUUGGAGGGGUUGACCCAGAAUAUACUCACGGUUUCCGGAAGGGUCUAGAUGAAGAUACCAGUAACCGUUCAAGUUCUGGCUUUGCUAUAGCUAACUCUGAUAGCUGUGUACUGUUUGGUAGUGCUUAUGCAAGUGAUUUGACAGGUUGGUUAGUCUCUGUAUCUGCAUGGUUUAUAUUGGUUCUGUACAAAGCACGAACCUAUCUUUUACCUCUGCCAAUGUAGUAUUUUAUAGUGCAAAUUUCCAGUGGAAGGGUCAUAUUCCAGUUCAAAAUUGCAAAUGCCCUUCAAAACACAAAUCGUAUAUUUUGAGAAGAGGGGGACCAGGGGGUUGAUCCGUGUCGGGUUUUUUAAUA